AUAUAUAUAUAUAUAUAUAUAUAUAUAUUAAUUAAAGGGGCAAUUGCUUAUAUACCCAUAAAAAUUUUUCGAUUUUCUGAUUUAUUCCUUUAACAAGGCUAAUAUUGUAAAUAUAUUUUUUACGUUCCAACUAUUUUAAAUAUACCCCUAAAAUUAAAUUCCGUUAAUAAACUAUUAACAAUAGCUAUUAUUUGUACGAAAUUACUAUUAUGCCCUUUCAAAUAUACCCUUCCACCAUUAUUGACUUUUUUUAUUUGUCCUUAAGUUAGGGUACAAAAAUUAUUUUGAUUUUUGAUCUUUUCAAAUAUACCUUUCUACCAUCACCAACAUUUCUUAUUUGCCCUUAAGUUAAAGAUAAAAGAGGCAUUUUGAUUUUUUUUUAACUCUAAUGGAUAUUUAAUUCAGGUUUAACCCAAGUUAAUUUAACGGAUGGUAACUGUAAGGAUAUUUUGGAAUAACGGAAGAAUAUAUGAAGGGUAUAUUGAAAAAAAAAAGAAGAUAUUUAUGAAGUUUUGAGAGAUAUAUAUGCAAUUAUCCUUUAAUAUAAAUGUCAAACAAAACUUGUUUCAAUUCUC
rnacentral:lncRNA from 1 species